rnacentral:lncRNA from 1 species
UAAACUCUUUUCUUUAAUAUUCUACAGUGUGUUUAUUUUCACGGCUAUAAAGUCAUACUCAGAUUUGCAAUGAUAUUUACUACCAUAUUUCAGAGUGUUUUAACUGAUGUUAGUUCAAAUCAAUUCUGGAGAAACUUUCCAGCCAAGGGAAUUGCAAGCUAGCUGGUUGACAUUGGAGGUCAAAUACUCCAGGGUAUGGGUCUCAAAUCACUUAAUUCUUCACAGCAAAUUAGAAACGGGACUCCAGCUGGUGCUAAAGAAUAAGACAGACUUGCUGUAUAAGGACAAGCUGCUGCUUGGAUUUCGAGUCUUUAUAUUCCUAAAAUAAAAAAUGUGAGACCCAAUUCCCACCCCCCAAUCUCAUUCUUUCAGAGUAAAAGAUUUCUUAACAACAGCAAAAAUCUGGCCACCUGAUUUCAAUACAUAAAUCUUGCCAAGGUAUAAAAAUAAAAUAUGAUUUAAACAGCAACCUGUAAUCUCCUGUUGACGACCAGCUGUGCCUCCUAUUAGUAUUAAUGGAAGUUACACAGGCAUAAUAAGAAGGAGGAGAAAAUGCCACCUUAUGCUUUUUGCACACCUUAACAUUUUUAUAGCAAGUCUGAUUACAAGGGUUUACUUGAGCGGCAAUUAAACAAUGAUUGAUUACUCAGUACAAUUUGUAUUCCAGGCAACAUGCAAAUGGUAAUGAAAUUCUCAGAUAAGGAAUGGAAUAAAUUCUUCUCACAUCAGAGAAUCACAUCUUUUUAACAGAAAACGUUUUCUUAUAUGGAGAGAAGAACUUCAGUAUAAGUUUCUUAAAUAAUGCAUGUUUACCCAAAGACAAUAAGCCUUGAUUUGGAUUUAGAAAGGAAUGGUAAUGAUUUUUGCAAAUUGUACUUUCCACUUCACCUUUAGACUACGGCUCUCUUUCCAUGAUGACAAACUAUAUGGAUGGAAAGUAUAAUAUUCACUCACAAAUAUAUUGACUUCGACUAUAGUCACAACUAUAAACAAUAUUUUUCAUCAUAUUUUGACAUUGCAGAAAUAAUAUCUACUUUUAAAUUGAAAGUGAAGUGAAAGGUGUAUAUAGAAUAAAGAAAAUGAUCAGGAGAAACUGAUGGGCAUUGAUGUGUAUAUGUACCUAUUCAUAUUCAGGGGAAAAUGAUGGAAAGGGAAGUCGAUGACUUUGCACUUGCUUUUUCCUACUUAAGGAAGAUCCUGAUCCAACAUCAUUGAAUAGUUGCCUGCUCUGUACCAUUUUGAUAUUCAUGUAUGUUAUGGGGUAUAACAGAAAUGUGACCUACUUUGAAAUCUGCAUUUUUCCUGAAGAACUGGCUAAUACAUUAUCAUUUUCACUUAUUGAAAAUUUAACGUAAAAGAGAAAUUGCAGUUAAU